CUCCAACUGAUGAGUCCCGAAUAGAACGAAGCGCGCUCCCUGAAU
rfam:Schistosoma haematobium scaffold1198_5, whole genome shotgun sequence.